rnacentral:rRNA from 1 species
AAUUAUUCAUCGCUGAAAUGGAUGUAUCUAAAACUAAAAUACAUUUAGAUACAUCCAUACGUGCGACAAGUAAUUCGGAACGGAGGGAGUAUCUAUUAUCUGUACUCUGCUAUUUCGUCGACUUACACACAAGCAGACCAAGAAGACACUAUCCUUGAGUUCAUUCUGCAAAUCCGAUAUGGCCUGCAUCCCCAUUUUGAUUCUACUAUCGUUGAGUUCAUUCUGCAAAUCCGAUGACCAGCUCACAUAUGCAAAGCCACUCGCCUCAGGCGACACUCUCGUCUCCAAGGGCAGGGACUUUGCGCUUGGCUUCUUCUCCCCGACCAGCUCCAACCGUAGCCUCUACCUUGGCAUAUGGUACCACAACAUCCCCAAACACACGGUCGUGUGGGUUGCAAACCGCAACAAACCAAUCACCUCCUCUGUUUCCGCAGAGCUUGCCAUCAGCAACACUUCUGGCCUGAUCUUGUCCGACUUCCAAGGCCAAACUGUUUGGGCAACCAACAACAAAUCACCGCUGGAGAUACCGGAGUUGCUGCGGUGAUCCUCGGGACGGGGAACUUGGUCCUCCGGUCAUCCAACGGCACAGUCAUAUGGCAAAGCUUUGAUCACCCGACGGACACCCUCCUUCCUGCCAUGAGGUUCGUGCUGAGUUAUAAAGAUCGUGUGGUUGGGCGUCUUGUUACUUGGAAGGGCCCUAAUGACCCUUCCGAUGGAGAUUUUUCUCUUGGCCUUGACCCCAGUUCAAACCUUCAGGUAGUAAUUUGGCAUGGAACUAGAUUGUACUGCCGCACCAUGGUUCGGAACAGUAUGACUGUUGGUGGAGGAACAUAUCGGAGCAACACCAGCUCCAUCCUGUACCAAACAGUCACUGGCAUAGGAGACGAAUACUACGCUGUGAUCACAGUCUCCGAUGGCUCACCGUAUGUGCGUGCGAUGCUUGACUACACUGGAAAAAUGAAGACAUUGAUUUGGAGCAACUCCUCGUCUUCAUCGACAGUCCUCGGCGAGUACCCCACUGCCUGUGACUUCUAUGCCUCGUGUGGCUCAUUCGGCUAUUGUGAUUUCAGUGGAACUGUCCAAAAAUGCCAGUGCCUUGAUGGGUACGAGCUUGAUGGUCUUGACUUCUCCAGAGGAUGUCGGAGAAUGGAACCUCUGAAAUGUGGAAAGCCGAAUCAUUUUGUUGCUUUGCCUGUGGUGAUGGUCCCGGACAACUUCUUGCACAUCAAGAACAGAAGUUUCGACCAGUGCGCGGCUGAGUGCAGCACCAAUUGCUCGUGUACAGCAUAUGCAUAUGCCAACUUGAGCAGUGAUGGCACAUAUGAAGACCCGUCAAGGUGCUUAGUCUGGACAGGAGAGCUUGUUGACACAUUGAAGCUUAGCAACAAUGGCGAGAAUCUGUACCUCCGGCUUGCUGACUCUCCAGAUCAAAAGAACAACAAUUUGGUAAAGGUUAUAACCCCGAUUAUUGGAAGCCUGGUGAUACUGUCAUGCAUAGCCUUUGUAACGGUAUGCAUAUACAGAGGCAAGUGGCGAAACAAGGAAAUCAAACAAAGACAGAUGUUAAGAUAUGUCGGCUCUUCAAAUGAAAUUGGAGGCGAAUAUUUGGAGUUUCCCUUUGUUAGCUUCGAAGACAUUGCUACAGCAACGGAUAAUUUCUCUGACUCCAACCAAAUUGGAAGGGGAGGUUUCGGCAAAGUUUACAAGGGAUUGCUGGAAGGUGGCAAGGAAGUUGCUGUCAAAAGGCUUAGUGAGGGUUCUAGGCAAGGUAUUGCGGAGUUUAAGAAUGAAAUAGUUCUAUUUGCUAAAUUGCAGCAUAAAAACUUAGUCAGACUUCUUGGCUGUUCCAUUCACGGAGAUGAGAGAUUACUGAUCUAUGAAUACUUACCCAACAAAAGUUUGGAUGCUUUCCUUUUUGGUAUGUCCUUAUUCGAUUACACAUCACUAAAAGUUCUUACAACGUAAAAAGGUAUUUUCAAGAUGACUAAUGGUAUACUUCAUUUGAUAUUUAUUAUUGAAAGGUGCUGCAAGACAACUCCGCCUAUGUUGUCUCAACAUAGCCGGUCCCAAGCCCGGGUAAAGGAGGAGGGUUGUGAUAGGCUUGGCGAGCCAACGUAAAAACUCAGCCACUCUUAUGGAGAUGAAACCCAAAAGAUUCUCGUUGGGGCGUAACCCUCUCAGCGACGCGCCACAUCGGAACCCGGGUGUGGUGGAAAAUGGGCAAGGGCCGGGCCGUCACCCCCCAAGUGGCGCGCCGUAUCUUGAUCCGGAUACGGUGGCAAGUGAGCGAGGAUCGGGUCGUCACAUCCUUAGUGGCGUGCUACAUCGGCGCCCGGAUGUAGUGGAAAAUGAGCAAGGGUCUUCGCAUUUGACUCGACGAGUGCGAAGGGUAAGGAAGCUAGCCGAGCCUAGGAGGAUUCGCUUAGGUAGCUGGAACGUAGGGUCUCUGACAGGGAAGCUUCCGGAGCUAGUUGAUGCAGCAGUGAGGAGAGGUGUUGAUAUCCUUUGCGUCCAAGAAACCAAAUGGAGAGGACAGAAGGCGAAGGAGGUGGAGGAUACCGGCUUCAAGCUGUGGUACACGGGGACGGCUGCAAACAGAAAUGGCGUAGGCAUCUUGAUCAACAAGAGCCUCAAGUAUGGAGUGGUAGACGUCAGGAGACGUGGGGACCGGAUUAUCCUGGUCAAGCUGGUAGCUGAGGACUUGGUUCUCAAUGUUAUCAGCGCAUAUGCCCCGCAAGUAGGCCACAAUGAGAACACCAAGAGGGAGUUCUGGGAAGGCUUGGAAGACAUGGUUAGGAGUGUACCGAUUGGUGAGAAGCUCUUCAUAGGAGGAGACCUCAAUGGCCACGUGGGUACAUCUAACACAGGUUUUGUAGGGGCGCAUGGGGGCUUUGGCUAUGGCAUCAGGAAUCAAGAAGGAGAAGAUGUCUUAAGCUUUGCUCUAGCCUACAACAUGAUUGUAGCUAACACCCUCUUUAGAAAGAGAGAAUCACAUCUGGUGACUUUUAGUAGUGGCCAACACUCUAGCCAGAUUGAUUUCAUCCUCUCGAGAAGAGAAGAUAGGCGUGCGUGCCUAGACUGUAAGGUGAUACCUGGGGAGAGUGUUGUACCCCAGCAUAAGCUGGUGGUUGCUGACUUCCGCUUUCGGAUUCGUGUCCAGCGGGAUAAGCAUGCCAAGGUCGCUAGAACGAAGUGGUGGAAGCUCAAGGGGGAGGUAGCUCAGGUGUUCAAGGAGAGGGUAUUUAAGGAGGGCCCUUGGGAGGAAGGAGGGGAUGCGGACAAUGUGUGGAUGAAGAUGGCGACUUGCAUUCGUAAGGUGGCCUCGGAGGAGUUUGGAGUGUCCAGGGGAAGGAGAAGCGAAGAUAAGGAUACCUGGUGGUGGAAUGAUGAUGUCCAGAAGGCGCUUAAAGAGAAGAAAGAUUGCUUCAGACGCCUAUACCUGGAUAGGAGUGCAGACAACAUAGAGAAGUACAAGAUGGCGAAGAAGGCCGCAAAGCGAGCUGUUGGUGAGGCAAGGGGUCGGGCAUAUGAGGACCUCUACCAACGGUUAGGCACGAAGGAAGGUGAAAGGGACAUCUAUAAGAUGGCUAAGAUCCGGGAGAGGAAGACGAGGGAUAUUGGCCAAGUCAAAUGCAUCAAGGACGAAGCAGGCCAACUCUUGGUGAAGGACGAAGAGAUUAAGCAUAGAUGGCGGGAGUACUUCGACAAGCUGUUCAAUGGGGAGAAUGAGAGUUCUACCAUUGAACUGAAUGACUCCUUUGAUGAGACCAGCAUGCGUUUUGUGCGGCGCAUCCAGGAGUCUGAGGUGAAGGAGGCUUUAAAAAGGAUGAAAGGAGGCAAGGCGAUGGGCCCUGAUUGUAUCCCCAUUGAGGUGUGGAAAGGUCUCGGGGACAUAGCGAUAGUAUGGCUAACCAAGCUUUUCAACCUCAUUUUUCGGGCAAACAAGAUGCCAGAAGAAUGGAGACGGAGUAUAUUAGUACCAAUCUUCAAGAACAAGGGGGAUGUUCAGAGUUGUACUAAUUACCGUGGAAUUAAGCUGAUGAGCCAUACAAUGAAGCUAUGGGAGAGAGUCAUUGAGCACCGCUUAAGAAGAAUGACAAGCGUGACCAAAAAUCAGUUUGGUUUCAUGCCUGGGAGGUCGACCAUGGAAGCCAUUUUCUUGGUACGACAACUUAUGGAGAGAUAUAGGGAGCAUAAGAAGGACUUGCAUAUGGUGUUCAUUGAGUUGGAGAAGGCCUAUGAUAAGAUACCGCGGAAUGUCAUGUGGUGGGCCUUGGAGAAACACAAAGUCCCAGCAAAGUACAUUACCCUCAUCAAGGACAUGUACAAUAAUGUUGUGACAAGUGUUCGAACAAGUGAUGUCGACACCGAUGACUUCCCGAUUAAGAUAGGACUGCAUCAGGGGUCAGCUUUGAGCCCUUAUCUUUUUGCAUUGGUGAUGGAUGAGGUCACAAGGGGUAUACAAGGAGAUAUCCCAUGGUGUAUGCUCUUUGCGGAUGAUGUGGUGCUAGUUGACGAUAGUCGGACGGGGGUAAAUAGGAAGUUAGAGUUAUGGAGACAAACCUUGGAAUCGAAAGGGUUUAGGCUUAGUAGAACUAAAACCAAGUACAUGAUGUGCGGUUUCAGUACUACUAGCUGUGAGGAGGAGGAGGUUAGCCUUGAUGGCCAGGUGGUACCUCGGAAGGACACCUUUCGGUAUUUGGGGUCAAUGUUGCAGGAGGAUGGGGGUAUUGAUGAAGAUGUGAACCAUCGAAUCAAAGCCGGAUGGAUGAAGUGGCGCCAAGCUUCUGGCAUUCUCUGUGACAAGAGAGUGCCACAAAAGCUAAAAGGCAAGUUCUAUAGGACGGCGGUUCGACCCGCAAUGUUGUAUGGCGCGGAGUGUUGGCCGACUAAAAGGCGACAUGUUCAACAGUUAGGUGUGGCGGAGAUGCGUAUGUUGAGAUGGAUGUGUGGCCACACGAGGAAGGAUCGAGUCCGGAAUGAUGAUAUACGAGAUAGAGUUGGGGUAGCACCAAUUGAGGAGAAGCUUGUCCAACAUCGUUUGAGAUGGUUUGGGCAUAUUCAGCGCAGGCCUCCAGAAGCUCCAGUGCAUAGCGGACGGCUAAAGCAUGCGGAGAAUGUCAAGAGAGGGCGGGGUCGGCCGAUUUUGACAUGGGAGGAGUCCGUUAAGAGAGACCUGAAGGAUUGGAGUAUCGACAAAGAGCUAGCUAUGGACAGGGGUGCGUGGAAGCUUGCUAUCCAUGUGUCAGAGCCAUGAGUUGGUUGCGAGAUCUUAUGGGUUUCACCUCUAGCCUACCCCAACUUGUUUGGGACUAAAGGCUUUGUUGUUGUUGUUGUUGUAAAGGUGCUGCAAGACAGUCUGUGCUUGAUUGGCCUACAAGGUUUAAGAUAAUUAAAGGUGUAGCAAGAGGGCUUCUUUAUCUCCACCAAGAUUCACGAUUAACUAUCAUUCAUAGAGAUCUCAAAGCAAGUAACAUUUUGUUGGAUAUAAAAAUGAAUCCCAAAAUAUCAGAUUUCGGUAUGGCAAGGAUCUUUGGUGAAAACCAGCAGCACGCAAGGACUACGCGAGUUGUUGGUACAUACGGUUACAUGUCGCCAGAAUAUGUGAUGCGAGGUGCCUUUUCUGUAAAAUCAGACACCUAUAGCUUUGGUGUACUACUCUUGGAGAUUGUAAGUGGUUUCAAGAUCAGCUCAUCAGAACUCACGACCAACUUCUCCAACCUUAUAGCUUAUGCAUGGAGACUAUGGGAAGACGGAAAGGCCGCUGAAUUGGUGGAAUCUUCAGUCGUAGAGAGGUGUCCUCUGGAAGAAGCUGUACGGUGCGUUCAUGUAGGACUCUUGUGUGUUCAAAACCAUCCUGAUGAUCGCCCCCUAAUGUCGUCCGUUAUAUUCAUGUUGGAAAACGGAAGUGCACUGGUUCCAGCACCAAAGAAACCCGCGUAUUAUGCUCUAGGUAAUUGUGAAGUCGGGGAGAUGGAACAGAUGGAAAAUUCUGUGAAUGGGAUAAGCAUCACAACUCUAGAUGGCCGUUAGAUGUUUGCCAGCUUUUAGUAGAGCUAGUUGUGUACUGUGAUCUAUUCUGUGUGGAUCUUUAAUGUGUCGGUUUGGACAUCAGUAUUAUUCUCGGUAUGUCUUGGUUGUUCUUAUCUUUGAUGUGCAAAUACGCCUGCUAGAAGCUACGGCGAGCACCAUCCUAACUCCCCAGUCCUAAAUCCAACGCCGCUGGAGUUUGUCGUCAGAUCCGUUCAGCAGCAAAUCACCAAACAAUGCGGGCCACUUCUGGGGCAGCUUCAGUAGGCGGCAUGGACGACGGGAGUGCAGCUUGACAGCCUCUCAACGACUAGCGAAAGUGCAGCUUGCCGUGAGGUUUCCCUGUCGCCCUGUUAAGUCUUACAUCAAGCUCCAAUCUGAAUCCGUAGUAAUGGUUUUCCUUUACGCGUGCAGCAUGGUUGGAGAGUCAUGAGGUACCCAUUGUUUAGCAUAGGAUUAAGAAAAAGUAUAAGCUUCAGUUCAAGAAGUUGUCAG